rnacentral:rRNA from 1 species
CCUACGGGCGGCAGCAGUGAGGAAUAUUGGUCAAUGGCCGAGAGUCUGAACCAGCCAAGUCGCGUGAAGGAUGACUGCCCUAUGGGUUGUAAACUUCUUUUAUAUGGGAAUAAAAUGUUCCACGUGUGGGAUUUUGUAUGUACCAUAUGAAUAAGGAUCGGCUAACUCCGUGCCAGCAGCCGCGGUAAUACGGAGGAUCCGAGCGUUAUCCGGAUUUAUUGGGUUUAAAGGGAGCGUAGGUGGAUUGUUAAGUCAGUUGUGAAAGUUUGCGGCUCAACCGUAAAAUUGCAGUUGAAACUGGCAGUCUUGAGUACAGUAGAGGUGGGCGGAAUGCGUGGUGUAGCGGUGAAAUGCUUAGAUAUCACGAAGAACUCCGAUUGCGAAGGCAGUUCACUGGACUGCAACUGACACUGAGGCUCGAAAGUGUGGGUAUCAAACAGGAUUAGAUACCCGGGUAGUC